UAAUCACAUAUCACAAUAAUAAUAUGUAUAAUAAUUACUAUAAUUUUGUAUUAUUUCAACGAAUCGAAACAACUGCAUUAUUAUAUAAAACAUGGACUUUGGUAAUUACAAUAUUGUGAACGACUGGCACACAUAAUAAGCAUUAUUCACUUUGACUGGGUUUCUCCUACACAUGUGUCAAUAACACAAAAAGGUAG